ensembl:lncRNA
CAUGUCCAUCAGUCGGAAAAACUGGUUUGCUUUGUCCAGCCUUGCACGACAAUGGACGAUGGAGGACGAGGAGGAGGUGGAGAGGGAGAAGAGGAGGAGAGGGAGGAGCAGCAGUACUGCUGACCCAGAUGCUGACUCUGACUCUCUUCCCAGAACUCCAUCCAGCAAUGGUGGCACAUCUGGGACUAAACCUUCCGGUGACACAUCUCUGGAUCUCAGCAGCGUUGAGCAGCUUCAGGUAGACUUUGUGGAGAUGCUUCGAGCGCGAGAUGAAAAGAGGAGGAUGAGGCAGGUGGAGACGCUGAGACGGCAGAAGGAGGAAGAGGAGGGUGAUGAGAAGGAGAGAAGUGGAGAAGAAGGAGAUGGAAGGGUCGUGGUGCUGGGGGAGUUGGAUGAGGGGAAGGACAGCGUGUUCAAACCACAAUCUCCUUCAAAAAGUACCUCUGAAAGCAACAAAUUCAGCAGGAAAGCUGCAACAUCAAGCACACUGCAUGAAAAAGAAGAGUCAUUAAAAAUGGACCCUGAGUCUAAACCAGAGCCCCGUCCAGCUCGCAAGUUUGUCAGUUCUGUGUCCAUCUCUCUUGACAAGCCUUCCUCAGCCAGCAGGAGCUCCACUUCCAUGAGCCCUAGCUCUCCGACGACCCCCUUGUCGCCACGUGAUCACUGGCCUUCACCCUGCAUGAGCCCGUCACCUCAUCAGCCUCAAAGUCCAGUAGAGAACAGACACUCACAGGAGACCUGCACCAAUGGGCCCUCGAAAGAUGGAAAUUUUGAACAAACAACCAAACCUGCCUUUGCCAGACAGAGCUCCAGGACUUUAUCCUUCAGGACCAUGAAGAAGAAAGAGGAGGACAGCUCGCCACUGCAGCGAAGUGCAAGUGUGAGGAUAGCCUCCAAGAAGUUUGAGACCAACACAGACCAGGAUGGAGAUGAGGACAAAAGAUCAUCAUUCCAAAGAAACUCUAAACAAAGAAUAUCCUCCAGAUCCAUCAAAGAAAAGAUGGAGUUACUGGCUCGAGCAGCACAGAAAUCAGAAGUGACCCGAUCUCCAGAUGUGGCCCAGAGGACCCUGUGUCUGUUGGAAGAGGUCUCCAGAAAAAGAAGCCUGUUUGAGAAGGAUCAGGAGGCACAGAGCCCGACCAGCCCCGGAGUUUCAAGACCAGAUUUCCGGAGCUUCACAUCGGGAAUGUCGGACCGGAUCAACGUCUGGCUAAAUAAGACCAACCAAGCUGGAUCCUCACUCAGUCUGGACUUGAGAAAUGUGGACAUCAACAGCAAGAGGAGUCUGUUUGAGAAUAGAGGGGAGGACAGUGUCUCCAAAAUAAGUCCUGCACAAAAGUUAUAGAUCUAUAAUUUAUCAUUCUCAUUGGGGAGGUAAACUUUUGGAUGAUUAUUGAGCUUUCAUGCUACUUCAAGAAUUUUUCUUCACUGCCAAGGCACACAAAAGGAAAGGCUGGAGUUUCUGCUGUAAAGAAUGAAACAUGUGUUGUUGUAUUUUUUUAAACAGGAAGCUUUUCUCUUGCAUUGAUUCUUCAAACUUGUACUUGUUUUACAAUUCAGAACAUGGAAUCUGGAGAAAUAUGAAUGAAGCAGUAGAGCAAAGAAGAAGAAAUAAUUUGUAUACAUUCUUCAGCCUUCUGCCUUAUCUUCAUUUCUCAAGCACUUUAAACAGGCAAGAGGCUUCAGGCUAAUUAAGUUUAUUGAAAGGUGGAAUUGUAAUUAAAUAAAGUUUUGUUUUAUCUUUGGACAUGCUGACUCGUUUGUCUGAGGAAUAAACUGUUUUACUACAAAUGUCUGGAUUUGUGGUUUUAUUAGCGUUUGGACUGAAAUUACGUAAUGGUGGCUUUACAAGUAAACACACAACUUAUGCAAUUCAAAAACAGGUACAGACAGAAGCACAAGCUUAUACCCCCCCCCCCCCCCCCCCCAACAAUAAAUACAAAAAUGUUUCAUUUUAGUUCUUACUUUAGGCUUUCUAAACAUUUUAUACCCUCAGAGAUCAUAAACACUCUCUCUGAUCUGGAAAUUAUAUCACAUCCUGUAGCUUAUAUAGAGGGAGGGUGCAGAUAAGAGUGGCAUGCCUGUGUUUUAUCACAGACGGGUCUCAUAUAAGGAUGAGUGCAUGCACGCGUGUGUGUGUGUGUGUGUGUGUGUGUGUGUGUGUGUGUGUGUGUGUGUGUGUGUGUGUGUGUGUGUGUCGUCUUCUUUAUCUAGAUUGUCUCGGCACUUCAACACUGCGGUCAUGCUCACAGUGACCUUCUAUGGAAGAGAACAUGCUAUCUAAAAAAGUUAUUAAUACCACAACAAGCUAAAACUUCUCCCCCAUGAGGCAUUCAGAUCUGACUUUUCCGUGAGGAGCUGCACAUCCACUCUCUUUCGAAUCCACAG